UGGAGCUCUCAGAAACAGGGCUGCUGAGAAGAGGGACUUGGUUCAGCUGGGAAGAAGGUGAAGGAGGUGUUUUGGGAAGGAGUUCGCAGCUCCUUCACAGCAGAUAGCUGAGUAGAGGCUUACUAAGCUUGAGGGAGGGGAGUUCUAGCAGUCCUAGAAGCAGGACUUGAUGUGGUUUUGUAACCUGAAGCUAGAGGGAGGGUAAGAUUUGAGCUUAGAAAAGCUGCGAGCUAUCCAUUUUGAGCUGAAUCGAAGGGAGAUUAUGAGCUAAUUUGGAGGGUUCUAAUCUCAAUGGAAGUGAAGAAUUAGUCCGAACCUGAGAUAAGGUGUGCAACAGGCUUUUGGAUUAUGUUCGACUAGGGAUUAAAGGCUUUUGAAGCUGAAGUUUAGUACUUUAACCUGAUCUGAACCAAGGGGUCAACUGUGGCAGGAUACAAGGUUCGAGUAUUGUUCUAAACUGAUCAUUGGAGCUCUUUUGAGUUGGAAUGAGCUGAAAGGAAGAUACUUUAAUCUGAACCAAAACAAGGGUUUAAGCUGUAACUUCAUACGAGGGCUUAUUUGGGCUGGAAUGAACUGAAUUCUGGGUGCUUCUACUUGGAUUGAAAAGUAGAUCCAACUUCUCCUUUAACCUAAGAACCUGGACACUUGGAUUGCUUACUAGGGUGUGUAUUUGGCAGAGGACACCAACUAGUAGAGCCAUCUACAGGAGAGGCUAGGGAUCAUGGCAAGGGGGUCGCGCCUAGCUAGAUAUAGCUUGAAGCUUGACUAGAUGAUCACCUUGCUACUCGGGCUACGGCCGAGGGUGAUGUCCCCAUAUAUAGAGAGAUUACUAUUGUACAUAUAUUUUGUACCCUGUGAUGUAUAUGUAACUUGAAUCAGAGAUUACAGUUUUGGUGUA